CUGCCUGAUGGAGGGGGAUAACUACUGGAAACGGUAGCUAAUACCGCAUAACGUCGCAAGACCAAAGAGGGGGACCUUCGGGCCUCUUGCCAUCGGAUGUGCCCAGAUGGGAUUAGCUAGUAGGUGGGGUAACGGCUCACCUAGGCGACGAUCCCUAGCUGGUCUGAGAGGAUGACCAGCCACACUGGAACUGAGACACGGUCCAGACUCCUACGGGAGGCAGCAGUGGGGAAUAUUGCACAAUGGGCGCAAGCCUGAUGCAGCCAUGCCGCGUGUAUGAAGAAGGCCUUCGGGUUGUAAAGUACUUUCAGCGGGGAGGAAGGGAGUAAAGUUAAUACCUUUGCUCAUUGACGUUACCCGCAGAAGAAGCACCGGCUAACUCCGUGCCAGCAGCCGCGGUAAUACGGAGGGUGCAAGCGUUAAUCGGAAUUACUGGGCGUAAAGCGCACGCAGGCGGUUUGUUAAGUCAGAUGUGAAAUCCCCGGGCUCAACCUGGGAACUGCAUCUGAUACUGGCAA
rnacentral:rRNA from 1 species